AGAAGCUGGUAAUUUUUCUUAUCUACGCACUUUACAUGCAAAUGAUACUAUUUCAAAGUUCAACGGCCUAGAUAUCACCAACAUCAAUUCCUUGCAGGCAGCUGCCAAUUUGUUUGAAAACUUCAC